GAGGGUCGGACGGUAUAUUUGAUCGAUAAAUCCGCGGUCACACUGAUCUCAAUUGCGGAACAUAAGGCCGUUUUGAAGCCCAACUGUGGCCCACAACUCCGCCCUGCCUCAGCCAGACCACCAGAUCGGCCAGGUGGAUCUUAGCCGACCAGAUCUUAGCCCGAAUCUGAAGAAAACCAAGCUGGAUGAGGCCUCGACGGCGGGGUUGAUGCAAGCACAUAAACGGAUCAGGGCGUGGUGUCUAUGAUGAGCUUCCAUCUGCGUCGCAAAAAGGGACUGGAACAAACCCUGGCGGCCAAGCUUACACCAAAGGCGUACGUCAAGGAGACUCAUGCCGUGCCCGGGCUGCCGGAGCUGCUGGAUCCUGCAUUCCCAACAAGACACGUCUGGACAGAUUAUGCGCCACUACGGCAGUGCAAGGGCAUCCGCCAGUUGCAGGCUUUGUACGUGUCCCACCUGCACGCGGAUCAUCACAUUGGAUUGAUUGGACUGCUGAAGGAGCGCAGAUAGCUGGCCCCGAAGGAAACUCGCUGCUCUUACUUGCGCCGCGGCAGAUCGAGCCAUGGAUGGAGUUCUAACAAGGAUAGCUCUUGGCGAGACUCCUGACUGGAGAGGCAGUGGCACCAUUGGGCAUAACUGCCGCCACUGCCAAGUCACCAGUAGGAACUGCCAAGCCGCCAGUGCGAACAGCUGCUUAAAAUCUUGCGAGACGCUUGGCGAUGCUGUGGAUGAUCGAGUUCAGCCCAACAAUCAACCUUUGCGGAAUGAGAGGAGCAGCAGCAAGGCAAGAAGGUGAGUUCUGGGUGAAAACUUGUCUCAUUGUCCUAUGCAGGAUGCCGAUCAGGAUUUGUACUAAAACCAGGACAGUUCGGCUAACUCGUCGCAGUCCUCGGUGGGCAUUGAUGACUAUUGGGAUGAGGCUCUGGUCGGCGACUAUGGAAGCACUCAGAAUGAUGACAGCGAUGACUUGGAUGGUCACAACAACUAGCCACCUAUCGAUGGGCAGCAAGGAAAAGAACCCGGCCGUAACGAGUUGCGUUACUAUUGGCGAUCAAGAGAUCAUAGACUGCAAAGAACAAUUCGACAAGCAGCGGCAGGCAACAUUACUUGGGCCGAGCAGGGCAGUAAAUGUAAAAGUUGUUCUGCACUAUCUUAAAAGCGUGCUCCGGCGGUCUUAAGCCUUCUGCACCAUGUUUUACAUCAUCGGUUUCGACCGGGAGCGCAGACAACUGGCUCCAAAGGAAACUCGCUGCUCAUACUUGCACCGCGGCAGAUUGAGCCAUGGAUGGAGUUCUAACACGGAUAGCUCUUGGCGAGACUCCUGACUGGAGAGGCAGUAACUUUGGGCAUAACUGCCGCCACUACCAAGUCACCAGUACGAACUGCCAAGCCGCCAGUACGAACAGCUGCUUAAAAUCUUGCGAGGCGUUUGGCGAUGCUGUGGAUGAUCGAGUUCAGCCCAACAAUCAACCGUUGCGGAAUGAGAGGAGCAGCAGCAAGGCAAGAAGGAUGCCGAUCAGGAUUUUUACUAAAACCAGGAGAGUUCGGCUAACUCGUCGCAGUCCUCGGUGGGCAUUGAUGACUAUUGGGAUGAAGCUCUGGUUGGCGACUAUGGAAGCACUCAGAAUGAUGACAGCGAUGACUUGGACGGGCACAACAACUAGCCACCUAUCGAUGGGCAGCAAGGAAAAGAACCCGGCCGCAACGAGUUGCGUUACUAUUGGCGAUCAUGAGGUCAUGGACUGCAAAGAACAAUUCGACAAGCAGCAACAUUACUUGGGCCGAGCAGGGCAGUAAAUGUAAAAGUUGUACAGCACUAUCUUUAAAGCGUGCUCCGGCGGUCUUAAGCCUUCUGCACCAUGUUUUACAUCAUCGGUUUCGACCGGGAGCGCAGACAGCUGGCCCCGAAGGAAACUCGCUGCUCUUACUUGCGCCGCGGCAGAUCGAGCCAUGGAUGGAGUUCUAACACGGAUAGCUCUUGGCGAGACUCCUGACUGCAGAGGCAGUGGCACCAUUGGGCGUAACUGCCGCCACUGCCAAGUCACCAGUAGGAACUGCGAAGCCGCCAGUACGAACAGCUGCUUAAAAUCUUGCGAGACGCUUGGCGAUGCUGUGGAUGAUCAAGUUCAGCCCAACAAUCAACAGUUGCGGAAUGAGAGGAGCAGCAACAGGACAAGAAGGAUGCCGAUCAGGAUUUCUACUAAAACCAGGACAGUUCGGCUAACUCGUCGCAGUCCUCGGUGGGCAUUGAUGACUAUUGGGAUGAAGCUCUGGUCGGCGACUAUGGAAGCACUCAGAAUGAUGACAGCGAUGACUUGGACGGGCACAACAACUAGCCACCUAUCGAUGGGCAGCAAGGAGAAGAACCCGGCCGCAACGAGUUGCGUUACUAUUGGCGAUCAUGAGGUCAUGGACUGCAAAGAACAAUUCGACAAGCAGCAACAUUACUUGGGCCGAGCAGGGCAGUAAAUGUGAAAGUUGUACAGCACUAUCUUAAAAGCGUGCUCCGGCGGUCUUAAGCCUUCUGCACCAUGUUUUACAUCAUCGGUUUCGACCGGAUCCAGUGGCCUAAAAAGUGCUAUAGAGCGAUCCUCUCUUACCCCACCAGGAGGUCACCCCCUCCGGUGGCCAUGAAUACCUUUUGCAUGACCGCGAAUACCGAAUUACCCACCAUCGUUUAACUGGGGCUUCACACUUCAGGUCCUCCGGUUUAGCUGAACGAGUGGGCGCUCGAUGGCGGCUGUCCACUCCAGGCGCCUACCGGCUGACAUCGCGAGCUCCCCACCGGCUCUUGGGACAUGACUUACAUCGCGCGAGCUGUGGCCUCUAGCCUGGACGACCUUUGGGUCCUCUCGGGAUGUGUAAGGGAUGUGCUCCUGGCUGGACUGUGGCAGGCACUGUCUGUCCUCCUGCGGGCCAAAGCCAUGAUGCCACUACUGUGUCGCUGAAUCGACAAUGUGGCGUCCCGUCCGCUGCAGCAGGGACCACUGAUCGACUUCAGAAUUGUGGGUUCACGCCCACGGUAAUCAAACGCUGGUCUUCAGCCUCGAGGCGCAGGGCUUAUGUACCAUAUCCAAGCAUUGCCGAAUCGUAUCCCAGCAGGACAAAAGCGCACCCCUUGGAAGAGCCCAAAUCUAACAAGCCGACGUCACAUUUCGACCUGGCCAUUGAAAACUAUCUCAAGGACUUUGGCUAUGGCAACCAAGGGAGGGAUACGCGGACUACCAGACUAUAGAUAGAUCUCGUUGUUAAUAGGUUUAAGGAUACACACGUCUGUACAUUUAGAUAGUAGAUAUAAAUAUUUCCAAAUUGUUAAUUUCUUUAUAGUAAGUUAACGUUAUUAUGAAUAAAACUAUUGAAAAAUUA
rnacentral:sRNA from 1 species